rnacentral:rRNA from 1 species
AAUCAACGCUGGCGGCGUGCCUCAGACAUGCAAGUCGAACGAUUAAGACUUCCUUCGGGAAGUGCAUAAAGUGGCGCACGGGUGAGUAACACGUAAGUAAUCUACCCUCGAGUGGGGAAUAACGUUCGGAAACGAACGCUAAUACCGCAUAACGCAGCGGCACCGCAAGGUGGCAGUUGUUAAAGGAGUAAUUCGCUUGAGGAGGAGCUUGCGGCAGAUUAGCCAGUUGGUAAGGUAACGGCUUACCAAGGCUACGAUCUGUAUCCGGUCUAAGAGGACGGUCGGACACACUGACACUGAAUAACGGGUCAGACUCCUACGGGAGGCAGCAGUCGGGAAUUUUGGGCAAUGGGCGAAAGCCUGACCCAGCAACGCCGCGUGAAGGAUGAAGUAUUUCGGUAUGUAAACUUCGAAAGAAUGGGAAGAAUAAAUGACGGUACCAUUUAUAAGCUCCGGCUAACUACGUGCCAGCAGCCGCAGUAAUAC